GGGGAAUAUUGGGCAAUGGGGGAAACCCUGACCCAGCCAUGCCGCGUGAGUGAUGAAGGCCUUCGGGUCGUAAAGCUCUGUGGGGAGGGAAAAAGCGAUGUCCCGUGAACAAUGGGGUGUUGUGAUGGUACCUCCUUAGCAAGCACCGGCUAACUCUGUGCCAGCAGCCGCGGUAAUACAGAGGGUGCAAACGUUGCUCGGAAUUAUUGGGCGUAAAGCGCACGUAGGCGGCAUCGUAAGUCCGAUGUGAAAGCCCUGGGCUCAACCCAGGAAGUGCAUUGGAUACUGCGGAGCUUGAAUCUGGAAGAGGGUCGCGGAAUUCCCGGUGUAGAGGUGAAAUUCGUAGAUAUCGGGAGGAACACCAGUGGCGAAGGCGGCGACCUGGGCCAAGAUUGACGCUGAGGUGCGAAAGCGUGGGGAGCAAAC
rnacentral:rRNA from 1 species